CCACCUCAGCCUCCUAAAGUGCUGGGAUUACAGGCGUGAGCCACCGCACCCCACCGAAGAAUGCUGUUUUUAUGUCAACCAAUCAGGAUUAGCAAGAGAUGCCACCUGAAAAUUAGCUAACGGGGCCUCUAAAAUAUAAUAGCAGCUGUCCGAGUCAUGGGGCUUCUAGUCAAGGGCACUAAGUUGGGCUUCAUGGCUACUUCCCUUAGCUGGCACAUUAUUAACAAUUAUACUUUCAUUGACCAUGUUUUGGACCAUGUUUGUUAAAUCUUUUAACCAAAUGUAUUUUUUCUCACCUAGAGGCCAUUGAGCUUCAAAUGGUCAUGCAGCAGGGCUUCUAUCCAGGUAAUGAUGCCAGCCCCAGCCAUCAAGAAGUCAUCCUGUCUCCACUAGACAGAGCAGGAACCUGGACAACUUGUAAUCAAGACCCUCCACUGGUAACACCCUGAGCAUGAUAUUUGUGAUGACAUCAAGAAAGAACACACUGUGGAAUUAGACACUGGCUCCCCAAGUGAGGAGCUGAGCAGUGCUAGAGAGGUAAAGAAACAGACAAUCUUACAGAAGGAAGAAGAGAGGAGUCAGCCAACAAAACCCCUUCUUCUUCUCAAGAACCCCCAAUGAAGGAAACUUGGGGGGAGAUGAGAGCAAAGGAUCACCAAAUAAUGCUUCAUCCUCCAUGGAUCCUGAAGUGAGGCUUAGUAGCCCACCAGGGAAGCCCAAAGACUCAUCCAGUGUUGAUGGUCAGUCAGUGGGGACCCCAGUUGGACCAGAAACUGGAGGAGAGAAAGAUGGACCAGAAGAAGAGGACUUUGAUGACCUCAUUCAAGAUGAGGAAGAUGAAAUGUCAUCAGCUUCUGAGGAAUCUGUGUUUUCUGUCCCAGAACUCCAGGUGAGAGCUGGAGAAUAUUCUCAAGUAUUUUGUGGACUCAGUAAUAUGUUUAAUUUAUUGAUAUGCCACCUGCUUGCUUGCUGCACUAUAGAUAGGCCUAAAAUCAUUUGUAUUUGAUUUGUGAAUGCAUUAUGGGACAUGAUUGUGGGGUUGAGGUGAAAUGAGAUGGAAAGGGUGAAAUUUUACUGAUUAUAUUAAACUCAUUUACACAUU